UCUAUUGCUCCAGUUCCUUUUUUUGUAUUGGCAGGGACCGUAGGACGACUGGGCAGUGCUUUUUGCGGCACUGUGGCGUCACUUCUGGAUUCCUGUCUGACUCAAUGUGCUGUGUGGAGUCAGAAUAGAGUGUGCAGACUGCGGAGACCGACUGUGACCGGACCAACACGUGGUGGAAGCUCUGGCUGGCUGAGCGGCGCAGUAACAAAGAGAUCCACUCACACUCCCCCUUGUCCGCCUGGGGGGCAUUUCUGACGGCGGCUAUGGUUCGCACAGUAUUUGCCAUUCAUUGGAUUGGCUCUCCUGAGGAAGCGGGUGACCGCGAAACUAGUCGAGACUUUGACCAAUCUAUCAUUCGACAACUACAGAUGUCCUCUGGGUGACC